AAGAGUGAAGCAAUCGACGCGAAGUGCCACCACUAGUUCGUAUCCAUCUUGACAAAAAAUUUUGCAAGCGCAUAAAAUUAAACAAUUUAUAGCGUUGUAGACAACAAAUCGCCACUAGAAUAACUGGAAAAAAGCAAACAUGGGAAGCAACGACAGAGCAUCGAGAUCGCCGCGUUCGGAUGAUCAGCGCGAGAUCAGCGACAUGCCGGCCACCAAAAGAACGCGCUCCGACUCGGACUUCAUAAACGCACGAUGAACUCUAACUCAGACUGUGAGGUGUGAGGUGAGGUGAGAGUCAAACAAAUCGAUUUGAGAGUCAGUCUAUCGCCAAAAGUCGAAAAGGGCGCGCUCCCCAGUCGAUAGAGCAAAAGCAAGCAAAAGCAUAUACGUGUGCUAAAUAACGAAAGCGAAUGCAAGCGAGAAAGCGCAAUGAAAUGCGUAUUGUUCAUAAAUCUAGGGCAUCAGUGAGUCCAAGUCCCGGUCCCGAAAACGAAAACGAACCGAUACGUUAAGAAACGAGUCGACGGAUCGCCAGAACUAAUCCAAAAUCCAUAUAUGUAUAACUUUUAUCUCUCUCUUUCUCUUUCUUCUAUAUUUCUCUUUUUUAGUUAUCGUAAGCGUUUUUCUCCUUUUAAGUUUGUUCCGCCUAAGACUAAGUUUAAUCAAGAUCGAAAUCGAGGUUCGCGUAUUCGAGAUCGAGAGAGAGAUGACCAAUUAGAUAACUCCACUACUACUCCACUACCAAUCUACUACCAAUCUGCUACUACUACUAUCAAUCAGCCACAAAACAGCCCAACCAGAACAUCGACAUUAAUCCGCUUCUAACCACCUCGCCACCACGUCGUCGUGUGCCGCCAGCCGAUCGGGGACCGACCCGAUCCCGAUCCCGAUCCUGAUCCUGUUUGAGAUUCUGAGUCUGGCUCCGGUCCUGUCCUGGUUGCAUUUACAUUAAGUACCAAUGAUUUUGUGUUUUGUCCUAGCUAGCUAGCAGAUCAGAUCAGAUCGGAUCAAAUCGAGCGUCCGUCCAGUCAUGCGUCCGUGUAUUCUAGCAAAUGGGGCACUAAACACUCAAUCCUGCUCGAUCCGCUGCCAAUCGCCCGAUCUUCCCGAUCGCCAUCCGCAUCUAGCAAUCACUAACUCACGAGCCUUGCUCUCGUAAGCGAAUCAUUAACCGUGGGUAGAGGACAGCUUUUUGUAUGUAGGUAGGGCGGUGGAGAAGCUAACCAACUUAAACAUAUUGUUGCUCUUAUUAUCGUUUCAGCGUCUUGUUUUCUUUUUUUUAUUUUUCUCUUUUUAUCACUGAGCAAUGUAAAAUGUGUGUGACCCUUCUUCAAGUCAGUUACCACGCCCCAACUCAUGGAAAUCGAUUACGAAACGAAUACGAAUACGAAACCGCACCUAAGGCAGCAGGCAGUUUUUGUCUUUAUUUAAGCGGUUUCAAACGCAAUCUCUUGACCAAUUGUCAAUUGUCUGACCCACUUUGCCUUCGGAAAAGACAAAGAAAACCAAGAAUGAAAAUCAAUCAAUCGAACAAGUCAAAUGAAAAGUCGAAUCGAAUCGAAUCGAAUCCCAAUCAAAUUGCAUAGCUGAUGAUCAACUGAAACGAACCCCCUCCCACUAUAAGAUGCACUAAUCCCUCUUCCCAAUUCUAGGCAAGUCCACGGAUUCGAAAAUUCCCUACCUUUCGCAGCCCCUGUACGACCUCAAGCAGACGGGCGAUGUCAAAUUCGGUCCGGGCACCCGAUC
rnacentral:misc_RNA from 1 species